AGGAACUGCCACAGCAUUCCCAAC
rnacentral:siRNA from 1 species